rnacentral:rRNA from 1 species
UGGGGAAUUUUGCACAAUGGGGGAAACCCUGAUGCAGCGACGCCGCGUGAUUUAGAAGGCCUUCGGGUUGUAAAAAUCUUUUUUACGGGAUGAAAAUGACAGUACCGUAAGAAUAAGGUCCGGCUAAAUACGUGCCAGCAGCCGCGGUAAUACGUAUGGACCGAGCGUUGUCCGGAAUCAUUGGGGGUAAAGGGUACGUAGGCGGCCUAGUAAGUUAGAAGUGAAAUAAUAUAGCUCAACUAUAUAAAGCUUUUAAAACUGCUAGGCUUGAGAGAUGGAAGGGAAAGUGGAAUUCCUAGUGUAGCGGUGAAAUGCGCAGAUAUUAGGAAGAAUACCGGUGGCGAAGGCGACUUUCUGGUCAUCAUCUGACGCUGAGGUACGAAAGCGUGGGUAGCAAACAGG